rnacentral:rRNA from 1 species
GUUUGAUCCUGGCUCAGAAUCAACGCUGGCGGCGUGCCUAACACAUGCAAGUCGAACGAGAAAGUGGAGCAAUCCAUGAGUACAGUGGCGUACGGGUGAGUAACACGUGACUAACCUACCCUCGAGUGGGGAAUAACCUCGGGAAACCGGGGCUAAUGCCGCAUAAUAUCUACGGAUCAAAUGCGCAAGCAGCUUGAGGAGGGGGUCGCGGCCGAUUAGCUAGUUGGCGGGGUAACGGCCCACCAAGGCGAUGAUCGGUAGCCGGCCUGAGAGGGCGCACGGCCACACUGGAACUGAAACACGGUCCAGACUCCUACGGGAGGCAGCAGUGGGGAAUUUUGCGCAAUGGGGGAAACCCUGACGCAGCAACGCCGCGUGGAGGAUGAAGCCCUUUGGGGUGUAAACUCCUUUCGAUCGGGACGAUGAUGACGGUACCGGAAGAAGAAGCACCGGCUAACUCUGUGCCAGCAGCCGCGGUAAUACAGAGGGUGCAAGCGUUGUUCGGAAUUAUUGGGCGUAAAGGGCGCGUAGGCGGUGCGGUAAGUCUGUGGUGAAGCCUCCGGGCUCAACUCGGAGCCUGCCGCGGAAACUAUCGUGCUAGAGUGUGGGAGAGGUGAGUGGAAUUCCCGGUGUAGCGGUGAAAUGCGUAUAUAUCGGGAGGAACACCUGUGGCGAAAGCGGCUCACUGGACCACAACUGACGCUGAGGCGCGAAAGCUAGGCGAGCAAACUGGAUUAGAUCCCUGGUAGU